rnacentral:misc_RNA from 1 species
UUAACUAUUAUAUAGUACUCAGACAUCACUAACAUUCAGAGUUUGGUCCUCUGGCAGGCGCAUGCAGGCCGGAGCCCACAGUGGUUUCCCACGGCCUGCCAAAGCAACAAGAGUAUAUAGACACGGGUUCGUGGCGCCGGGGUUUGACCCCCGAGACACUUUGAACUGGUAAUGAUCCUUCCGCAGGUUCACCUACGGAAA